AGGCUGGAAUUGGGAGCCCCAUUAUUGCUGCUGAUGGAAAAUUCAUAGGCAUGAGCUUUUUUUAUAAGGAUGGAGCUCCUUUCUUACCAAUCACUAUCCUCCAGAAAUGCUUAAAGCACUUCAAUGAAUUUGGGAGAGUUCUGCAGCCAUGGCAUGGUCUGAGGACUGGAUCACUUCAAGCUGAAAAACUGUGUGUCCGUGAAGAAGUACAUGACAGCUUCCCCCAUGCACAUGGCAUUUAAGUACAGAAGAUACUUGCUCCAAUUGUUGAUGAUGGUCACAUUUCCUUGGUUGUUGUUUCCGUCAAGAUGAAGACGAAGUAUGUCCUUUACUCUGCUCCAGGUUUCCAUCAAAAGCAGGCAAAUACUGUGUUAAAG